CGUAACUGUAACUAUGCGGUAGACAAGAGACCGAAACGAGGAAGCCUCUUUUGUAUGGAAGAAAGCGUUUUAUAAACCAAGGUUAGAGUUCGUGAGGCGUGGUUCACUUUCUACUUUAUUUCGUGCAUUGGAGGCAGUUUCAGGACAUUGACUGCUUUGUAAGAAAACCAAACCACACAAACAGCAGCUAAAACUGAAGAGGCUGAAGAAAACUGCGAAGUGUUUUACGAAGUCCCACAAAAUCAACAUGUCAUAUGAGCUCUGAACUGAAUGUGCCUCAAGUAAUGCUGUGUAAUACAAGUCAAGAUACAUUUAUGAAAUAUUCUAAUGAAGUAUAAUCCAUACCAAUUGCUAGGCCAUCACAAAAGUUAUGAAGUCCAUCUCCCAUGAUGACCAUCCAUGCUACUGCGGUUACCGAUUGAGGUAUUUCAUGACUAUGACCAUGCCCAUGGCCAUGAUGUUCAGACACAAUGACAGAACUUUCAGAAUCUGGUCUAUAAGCUACGCUCACCUCGGGCUCAAGGCUAAAGCUG